ACCAUAUGGAAACCCGAAGGCUGUAAUCUAGGGGGAUCCAGGGAAGCAAUUUUUCAGUCUUGUGAAAUGUCAGACUAGGCUGACUGUUAACUAAGAGUUUCAGGAGGACUUCAAAGCCUUGAAGGCCUGAAGAUUUCUGGGAAGAGAGGAGGGAUAGUUGUUUAUUUGACUUGGAAAAGAGCAUUUCUUUUUUUGUCUGAAAGCCCAUAUUGGAAAAGAAGGAAAACUGAGGCAUUAAUCAGUAUCCCCACCAAAAACAUCUUAAGCUGGAAAACUGAAGAUGAAUUGGGACAAACUGAAGCAGACACACUAGAAAGAGAGAAUUGGAAGCAACAGAAGUAAUAAUAAUGAAGAGGCACGAAAACACUGAGUGGCUGCUAACACACAAGUUUAGGAUUACAUUUACUCUUCGAGUUCACAAAUAGUACAGCAUGAAUAAUAAAAGCAAAAAUGAAGUGUUGCAGCAAGAGGAGGGGAGAACAGCAUCUUGUCUGCUUGAUCAGAAGAUGGGAACUGGCCUUGAUGGCUAUGAAAUCAAAGCUGUCUAUGGAACAUCUGCAUCAUCUGUCUGUUGAGGAAGCUGUAAUGACCAGGACUAAAUCCCUGAAGAACUGAUUUAUCUUUAAUUUUCAGCAAGGUUCCGAGCAAAGAGAAUGCUGACAAAACUAUUGCAGUGAAAAAUGCACAAUAUUACAAAAAUAAAAUUAGGUUUCUAUUUUGUGUUUGGUUCUAA